UUUUGACCUGCCUUGUUUACCUUGCAGGAAAGGUAGCGAUACCUGUUUAAAUCAAAGAUGAACACUUUAGGUGAUAGGCACUCAGAAAGAGGCAGUGUUCCCCUGAGCUGGUUAUCAGCAACAGACAUCUCACCUGGUCAGGAUUUAGCAAUCUGCAAAAGCUUGGACACGUCAGGUUUUAGUAACAUGAGGUAUUUAUCCUGGUAGUAGAGCAGCACUCAGAGACACUGUAGUCUGAAUUUGAAAAUAAACUUUGGUUAAUUCUCCACUUGUCCAGGAUGGGGUGUGGAAGCCUAUCAUGAAAUACGGAAAGAGCAGUUCAAGACUGUCAUGAUGAAGAGAGCUGUAUUAAAGAAAUAUUAGAUCAUGAAUUGAGUAGUCUUGCAGCUGCUUUCUUCUGUCAUUCCCUGCCCAGGAAUUUCUUACUAGUUCUUGGAAUCACUGGGGAACUGCAAAUCCUAAACUUAUGUUUAAGAGAGGUGUGCAUAGGUAGAAGGUCAUCCAUCUGAUAGGACUUAAUCUUUGUAGAUCCUUCUUCCCUUCGGGCUCUGAAAUUCAUGUGUGUAAAAUCUGUGAUCCAAAUAUGUUUUUGAAAACUGUUUGCAAUUAGAUGAGUGCUUCGCUGUUACUGUUACCAAAAUGAAUAUUCCAUGCCACAUAUUAAAUGGAUAUUACCCUUUAGAUGGGGACACAUUCCUUUCACUUUAUUUACAUUAAUUCUUGUCUUUUAUUUUUCAGAAUUAUUUUACUUGAAAACACAUUCUUUUGAUUAUAAAGCCAUUGGAACUGUCUGCUAGUUAGAAAUGAUACGGAUCUUAUUAAGUGUUUUAAAUGGAGUCUUGGUUAAUUCAAUAGGGUAGAAUCAAAUCUGUGAGGGAAGGGUGUUUUUUACUACUUUUUUUUUUUUUUUUUUUUUUUUUUUUUUAAUCUAUGAGUGAAGCACUGAUAGCAAAAAGGCAGAAGUAUUUUUCAGCAUUGCAAGCCUCAGCCAACCUUCAGCCCAAAAAGCGUGACGUGGAACUGAGCGCCGUGCAAGACUGCAGAGCGCCGUGGAGAGACUCCAAAGAGCAGCAGCUCCAUGUGCAGAACACAGGCGGGAGGAAACAGGAAACCAUUCCCACAGCUGCAGCACUUGCUGUAUUCUGGUGGUAUUGCUUGGUUUCUGCCGUCCAGGUUCUUUAGCCUCGUGCUAGUGAACAGUGAGGAAGGAGGAUAUAAGGGCUAUCUAUACCUGUGAUAUGACUUAGGCAGCUGUUGCAGGAGCUGAGCAGAUUCCUAAAUAAGCCAUGUAGUAAGGACCACAACUGUAACUUGCCAAGGGCUGUAGGAAUGGGAGAACUUUGCCUGACUUUACAAGUGCUCUAGGAGACAUUUUGCCAAUCAUGAAUCAAAUUUCCCAUUGCCUUUUCUGUUUGCUUUUUCUUUGUUGUUUGGUUUUCCUUUCUAUGCCUUGUUGAGCUUUUUACAUUCCUAUUCUUAAUGGACUCCUGUGUACAAAAAGCAUAUUCCACUCCUUUCACCAGACCGUAGUAAACUCUGAGACAACUUUCCUUAUAAAUGCAAGAAAUAUUUCAUAUAUAUAUAUAUUUGUAUGUUAAAGCCAAUGUAGAGUAGCGAGAACAUAAAAAGUCUGACAGGAAAAGAGUGUAGGCUCAGCAGGAGCUUCACCUGGGCGCUUUGUUCACGUCAGUUUGCUGGAGACUUAGUGAUAUGAUUUCCCUAGAUGCAUGCAAAUAAAAUCUGUGAAGUCUUCGUUUGCUCUAACAAGAUCAAGUAUUUAGGGUUAGACUCUACUGCUGCUUUAAAAUUGAUAGUUUGAAUUAACUAUCAUUCUGCAGUGCUAAAUGAUGUGCAAGGAAGUUUUAAUUAUCAGCUUCACCCUUAGAAUAUUUGUAAUACACUAACAUAUAUUUCUGUCCCUCCACUUUUUAUUACAAGUGAGAUUUAUUAAUUCCUUUUACAAGCUUGGGUGAUCCUUACAUCCCAAACCAUGCUGUAUUAACUUCUCUCCUCCUUAUGGUGGGGGCUUCAUCCCUUCCAACUUUUUUAACAAAUAAUUCACUUCUUUACAACUGACGGUCCUUUUCAGCCACAGAAACUGAAUGCUGAAAUAGGAAAUGUUUUCCAGUCUGCUGUUAAACAAAGAGAACUCUUCAUAAUGCAGACCAAAAAAGUCUGUCGAUAUGUGUAAUAGCUUUAUCCUCAAGAGGAGUGGAUUUGGGCGGCUUUGUUGCUGGCAGCUCUGGUGGGCACUGUCAAGAUUUAUAAAGAGGGACAUUUACAAGGCGGAAGAUGCAGUGUUCUUCCAAGGCUGUUAGAACAAAAUAGAUCUGAAUCCCAUACAAAACAAAUGAACCGAAUAAUUUUAAUUAAUCAAAUCCUAUUUUUUUUUUCUCUCAGUGUAAUCAUAUCUUUAAUCUUGAAUGCAUUGCUGUUAAAUAAGAAAUGUAGCAAAAUAUUCACCUCUUUUUUCAUUCUCUUGCGCAAACAAUGUAAUAUAAAUCUGUUAAAUCUGAAAGAAAAGGAUAUGCUCAUAUUUCAGUCACAGCAGUCAACCCACACGUUUGAAAAUGUGUAAUGAAGUAAGGGCAUAGUAAGAAAUCUUUUCUCCCUCUGUCCUAAAGAUAACUGCAUAUGUACUGGAACUUGAGUAAGCUCAAAAAACAUGAAUGCUGAUAAAUAAUCUAUAACUACCCUUGCUUCCAGGGAGAAAUGGCCUUCGCCUGCAAAUCUCUGGAUUUGGCAACUAUACCUAAUUCAUUUUAAACUCCCACUGACAUCAGCAAAAAUUACCCAAUUAGGGAUGCAGGAUCGGAUCUAAGAUGGUAGCAUAUUAAAAUGCUAUUAUAAAUUCAAAAGAUGCUACACAAAGUAUAAAGCAUUCAAGGCAGUUGAACAGUUCUCAGCGUGCAUAUUCAAAAUGCUAAACAAUAGCAGCUAUUGCAUGUGUGACCAUCAGGAAACACAGCUGUGCUUCUUUGUGUUACAAUUAAUUACUUCCGUUGUAUAUAAAAUUGAAAGUAUUGGUACUCUGGGGCGGAAGAAGGAUAUCCUGAUACACUGCUCCUAUUUCCUUAGGAAGGACUAUGACUGAACCUUUCACCAUUAAUAAAGUUGCAAUGACUUUUCCUGCGAUGAAUAAAGGAAGGGUAAAUUUUGUGGUUAAUUAUAAUGCUUAUGGUACUUUUUCUCUGCAUUUUUACACUCCUACAUUUAUAUCUCAUUUUAGUGUUUUCGCAUGCCAUCUUUGAUAACAAUUGCUCACUUCUAAGUAGUUGAACUUAAUGAAAAGUCUAAAGUAAAUAUUUGGCUUAAAGAUUGUUCUUUUUUUUUUUUUUAAUGAUAUUGGAUCAGAGGAAAGCAUAAAACUUCAUCACUGUUCUUUAGCAGGCUGAGUAAAAUCUUCUUACCUUAGACAACAGACAACAGCUUCUGUGACUGUUCAGGAAACCAGUGAAGCCUCCAUCAGCCAAUAGCAACUGGCAGAAUUUAAGAUUCACAAUUAGGGGAAAAAGCAACGCCAAAGCCCAUAGUCUGGAAAUCACCAUUUUCUUCAGAGCAAAUCAUAGUCUCUCUCCUAUUAAGAACCUCUUAACGCAACACUUGUCAAGCUGUAUUGCACCGUGUGUUUCUCUAAUGAACUUUGCUCUGUUCACUUUUUGCACCCUAUUAACUGGCAGAGUGUUAUACCUCUAGCGCUUCCCCUUCGUACCGCUCAGCUCCCCAGGGAUCACGGUACAACUGUCUAGUGCAAAGUUUAAAGGUCAGCACAGGCAAUCUGGAAAAAGAGCAGUUGAAAACUAACAGCAAUCCGUGGACGUUCUGUUCAUUCUUCUGAAUUGUGUUUUGCCUUACGCAUGCUGUAAACAAAUCAGGGCUGUAAAAUAAAAUCAAAGUUCACACGUUUGCA